CCUACGGGUGGCAGCAGUGGGGAAUAUUGCACAAUGGGGGAAACCCUGAUGCAGCGACGCCGCGGGAGUGAAGAAGUAUUUCGGUAUGUAAAGCUCUAUCAGCAGGGAAGAAAAUGACGGUACCUGAUUAAGAAGCCCCGGCUAACUACGUGCCAGCAGCCGCGGUACUACGUAGGGGGCAAGCGUUAUCCGGAUUUACUGGGUGUAAAGGGAGCGUAGACGGCAGCACAAGUCUGGAGUGAAAUGCCGGGGCUUAACCCCGGAACUGCUUUGGAAACUGUGCAGCGAGAGGGCAGGAGAGGUAAGUGGAAUUCCUAGUGUAGCGGUGAAAUGCGUAGAUAUUAGGAGGAACACCAGUGGCGAAGGCGGCUUACUGGACUGUAACUGACGUUGAGGCUCGAAAGCGUGGGGAGCAAACAGGAUUAGAUACCCGGGUAGUC
rnacentral:rRNA from 1 species